GAUGAACGCUGGCGGCAGGCUUAACACAUGCAAGUCGAACGGUAACAGGCCGCAAGGUGCUGACGAGUGGCGAACGGGUGAGUAAUGCAUCGGAACGUGCCCAGUCGUGGGGGAUAACGCAGCGAAAGCUGUGCUAAUACCGCAUACGAUCUAUGGAUGAAAGCGGGGGACCGUAAGGCCUCGCGCGAUUGGAGCGGCCGAUGUCAGAUUAGGUAGUUGGUGGGGUAAAGGCUCACCAAGCCAACGAUCUGUAGCUGGUCUGAGAGGACGACCAGCCACACGGGGACUGAGACACGGCCCAGACUCCUACGGGAGGCAGCAGUGGGGAAUUUUGGACAAUGGGCGCAAGCCUGAUCCAGCAAUGCCGCGUGCAGGAGGAAGGCCUUCGGGUUGUAAACUGCUUUUGUACGGAACGAAAAGGUUUGGGUUAAUACCCUGGGCCGAUGACGGUACCGUAAGAAUAAGCACCGGCUAACUACGUGCCAGCAGCCGCUGUAAUAC
rnacentral:rRNA from 1 species